rnacentral:rRNA from 1 species
UACAGAGGGGGCAAGCGUUGUUCGGAAUUACUGGGCGUAAAGGGCGCGUAGGCGGCCUGUUAAGUCGAACGUGAAAUCCCCGGGCUCAACCCGGGAACUGCGUCCGAUACUGGCAGGCUUGAAUUCGGGAGAGGGAUGCGGAAUUCCAGGUGUAGCGGUGAAAUGCGUAGAUAUCUGGAGGAACACCGGUGGCGAAGGCGGCGCUCUGGACCGAGACUGACGCUGAGGCGCGAAAGCGUGGGGAGCAAACAGG